rnacentral:lncRNA from 1 species
CUCUUUUUCCUUCGUCUCUUGAACUCUAUGGAAUCUCAGUUUUUUUGCUUCUUUUCUCUUUUCAUCUCCUUCAUCUUCUUUGUGUUUCCAAACUUCUGUGAUUUGAGGUUUGUAUUCAGUGUGAAUAAGUGAAUUUAAGUGAUUCUUGUGUGAGGAGAAAGGGUUGAUAUCUGUUUUGGGAAUUUUUCCUUUGGUCUGUCGAAGUAGCCUCGUUCAGUUUCCUAUGUAGGUUUGGGUAUUUUGCUGUUUCUUAUUUGUACAGAAUGGUACAAUGAUUCUUGAGCCCAAAGUCGAUGAAAUCUUGAUGUCAAAUAUUCGAUUUGUGUUGUAACCUUUUAGAGUGAAUAAUUUAUGGGAUACUUUGUGUAUUUUUUAUUUCAUGGUAUAAUGGUGGUAUUAGAACCAUUAGAGGGGUUAGGGCUUCGUUCGAUGGUGAUUUGUUGGGGAAAAAAUCAUUUUCAUAGCCUGAAGAGAUCUCUGUGAUCGAUUUUUUUUUUCGAAACCCUAGAUCCGUUUCAACCACAGAUCUUACAUAUCUUUGUUUACAUUUUUUAUAUAUAUUCUGAUGACUAAACUAACGAUUGUUCUCUUUGGCUGUCUCAUUAGUUUCUUGCAGGUUAACCCUUACGAACUGAGUUGCCGUGAUUGAUUCUUGGGAGACCAAAAUUAUUGUAGAGGCUUUCUUAGUUAUUGGUAGUCAUAACUAACGACUACCUCUUUGGUUUGAGGCUUUGAUAGAUCUUCCUGUAUACAAUAACAUACGUGUGUAGUUAAAUUUUGUAAACUGCAUUCGUUUAUUGGUUCUGUUUGACACAUGCAUUAUAUCCCAUUCAAAUUCUAGUUCCGAUGCCCAAAUUGAGCCUUGACCUGAGGACAUGAUCUUUACGGAAUCCUGGUGAAUUUGGGCAUUUGGGGCCUGAAGUGCAUUACAUUGGAUAUACUACCAUUUCAUGUUAUUAUUAAUACUCUGUGCGUUAUUGUUUUCUUGAUUCUUGAAGCUACUUGAUACUUAAUAAUUUUGGCUAACUUUUAGUGUUGUCAAACUUUAUUCUGUAUCUACUUUGUUUCUGUUGAACAUUGUACCUACAAAUAAUUUUCUUAUGUUGAUUAAAAACUCUAAAUGUCAACUACUAAGUUUGAACUUGGGGGUUUUUAAUGGAAAAGGGGACUUCCCCAUUUGGCAGCAAAAAAAUGAAAGCGAUCCUUGUUCAACAGAAUGUCUCAAAGGCUAUAACUGCUGAAUAUCCUGCUACUAUGACUCAAGAACAAAAAAAUGAAUAUGAUGAACUUGCCUAUGCCUUUAUCAUAUUGCAUUUAUCUGAUCAAGUCUUAAGGAAAGUUGGGAAACUUGAUAAUGCAAAAGCUUUGUGGGAUAAACUAGAAGAACUUCAUUUAGUAAAAUCCUUACCAAAUAAAAUAUUUCUUUUGGAAAGACUCUUCAGUUUUAUGACAGACCCUUCCAAAGAUUUAGAAGAUAACCUCGAUGUUUUUAAUAAAUUGGUUCAAGAUACAACCGUUGCUGGAGAAAAAGUCUCUAAGGAGUACAAGGCUAUCAUUCUUCUUAAUUCAUUGCCUAAAGCCUAUAAAGAUGUUAAAACUGCCAUUGCGUAUGGUAGGGAUGCCUUAACUCCUGAGGUUCUUGUGGAUUUUUUAAGAAGCAAAGAACUAGAACUUAAAUCUGAAAAACAAGGAAGGGAUUCUGAGGGCCCAUUUGUUAGAGGUAGAUCACUUAGUAGGUAAAAUAGUAGUCGUGAAAAUCAGAGUCAUCAAGGAAACAAUAAUAACAAGAAGAAAUGGAAAGGAAGACCUAGGUCCAAGUCUAGGAUUGGAAAUAGGAAGUGCCAUGGAUGUGGAAAAACUGGUCACUUUAUUAAAGACUGCUAUAAGAAAAAGAAUGAACAAAGAGAUAGGAAGGUGGAUGAGGGAAAUGUUGUAGAACCCCUAGAAGAUAAAACUAUGGAUGUUUAUGUUGUUAUAGAACCCAUUACUGACUUGAAUACUGUUAAUUUUUUUGAAAAUAAUGACCAGAUUCAAGAGUGGAUUCUUGAUUCUAGUUGUACAUUUUAUAUGACUUCCAAAAGAUUUAAUUAGAAAGUUUUAAAAAUUGGUAGUGUGACUUUGAAAUUUGAAAAUGGAUAUAUAUUUACACUAGAGAGAGUAAGAUAUGUUCCAGAUUUAAACAGAAACUUAAUUUCAAUGGGUAACCUAGAUGACAUUGGCCUGCAAGCUAAACUUGGUGGUGGCCUUUUAAAUGUAAUUAAAGGCUCAAUUGUAAUAUUCAAAGGUGUCAAAAGAAAUGGAAUAUAUUUCAUUAGAGCUGAGGUAAUUUCAAGUCACACUGUCGAGUCCUAAAUUGCUGAAGUUUCUGCCACCUUAAAAGUUAGCAGUAAGUGAAAGAGGUCUGCACAUUUUAAGUUAAAAAGGUGUCUUUGGAAAAGAUAAUAUUUCAAAAAUCCCCUUCUAUGAUUAUUGUACUCUAGGCAAAUAACAUAGACUUUACUUUAAUACUGGAAAGCAAUUGACUACUUCUAUGUUGGAGUAUAUACAUGGUAAUUUGUAAGGGCCCUAUCUACCAGAACUAAAGGAGGAAAUAAAUAUUUUUUUUUAUCUUUGAUUGAUGAUUUUUCAAGAAAGGUUUGGAUUUUUCUAUUUAAACAAAAGUCAGAUACCUUGAAAAUUCUAAAGCUUGGAAAAACUUGAUUGAAAAUCAAACUGGGAAGAAAAUUAAAAUACUAAGAACUGAUAAUGGUCUAAAAUUUUUUAAUGUUGAUUUUCAUCAACUAUGUAAGGCUAGUGACAUCCUUAGACAUAAAACUGUUUCUUAUACCCCUCACCAAAAUGGAGUUGCUGAAAGGAGCAAUAGAACAAUUCUAGACAAAGUUAGAUGCAUGGUGAUCAGUUCUGGAGUCCCUAAAGUGUUGUGGGGAGAAGCUGCUAUGACAAUUGUGUACAUCAUAAAUAGAACCCCUAAUAGUGUCUUAGAUGGUAGAACUCCUAAGGAGCUCUGGUUUAGAAAAAUACCAAAUUAUACUCACCUUAAGAUUUUUGGUUGUGCAAUAUUUUCUCAUCAAAGUGUUGGUAAGCUUGAACCUAGAUCCCUGAAAUGUGUUUUUAUGGGGUAUUCUAAGGGUGUAAAAGGCUAUAGGUUGUGGGAUAGGAGUGUCAAGAGGUUUAGGAUGAUGACAAGUAGGAAUGUGACCUUCAAUCAGUAUGACAUGCCCUGCAUGUCUGAGAAACAACAAGAAACUGAAUCUGUGAAAGAUAAAGAUGAGGUGAUUAGGCUGCAGGUGGAGCUUAGGUCACCUGCUGAACAUACCGAUGAAGCUCAACCUAAAAAUGAGAAAGUUUCAGAAGUUGAAAUAGAGGAAGAAGUGACUGUUCAAGGAGUAGGUGUGGAAGAAAAAUCCUUUAGAAAGUUACCAGCUUACUAGGGAUAAGGUUAAAAGAAAGAUAAGGCAACCCCUGAAAAUGAGAACUACCUAUCCUUAGCUUUAUUGUCAUAUCAAGAUCUAGCCUUUAAAGAACCUAAACCAUAUGAAGAGGCUGUGAGUUGUCAAUUAUGAAAUGACUAGAAAUUGGCCAUGGAUGAAGAAAUGAACUCUUUGUUGAAAAAUGAUACUUGAAUUUUGGUCCCUAACCUUAAAGAUAAAUCCAUAGUUGACUGUAAGUAUAUUUAUAACAUAAAAGAUGGUGACAAUUUGAAGCAGCCUAUUAGGUUUAAAGCCAGAUUAUUUGCAAAAGGAUUUACAGAAAAACCUGGAAUUGAUUAUAAUGAAAUGUUCUCACAUGUGGUUAAAUACAUAACCAUUAGAGUCAUGCUUACUUUGGUAGCACAUUUUGACUUAGAACUUGAACAAAUGGACGUCAAAACUAUUUGUUUGCAUGAAUACUUGGAUGAAACUGUUUAUAUGUGUUAGCUACUUGGUUUUAUUGAUGCUAAGAAAUCAGAACACAUGUGCCUGUUAAAAAGAUCUCUGUAUGGGUUUAAACAAUCACCAAGACAAUGGUAUAAACAUUUUGAUAAUUUUGUGUCAUCUGUUGAUUUUAUUAGAAACUCUUUUGAUCUUUGUCUUUACUUUACAAAGUAUAAAAAUGAAUUUGUGAUUGUUUACCUGCUUCUGUAUGUGGAUGAUAUGCUUCUAAUAGGACAAACUAUGAGUGAUAUUAAUGAUAUGAAAAGAUCUUUGUCCUCUGAAUUUGAAAUGAAAGACUUGUGCCAUGCUAGGAAAAUUUUAGGUAUGGAUAUUAAAAGAAAUAGAUCCCAACAAGUUCUUUUUCUUUCACAAUCUACCUAUGUGGAGAAAGUGUUAUCUAAAUUUGCUAUUCAUGAAUCAAAGUCUGUUACUUUACCACUUGUAAGUCAUUUUAUAUUGAGUAAAGAUAAGUACCUUGUUGAUGAAUUUGAUGUAAAAUACAUGCAAAAAGUCCCUCAUGCUAAGGCCAUGGGGUUUGUAAUGUACAAUAUGGUAUGUACCAGACCUGAUGUUGUUCAUGCUAUCAGUACCUUAAAUAGAUUUAUGGCCAAUCCUGGCCUUGAACACUAAACUGCUUUAAAGUGGUUACUGAGAUGACCAUAUAAAUUAGGUUUAUAUUUUAAUUCAUGUAAAGAAGGUAUUGUGUUUAAGGGUUUUGUUGAUUCUGAUUAUGUGGGGAACAAAGACAAUAGAAAAUCUACCACAUCUUAUAUGUUUACUUUGUGUGGCACUUGUGUGAGUUGGAAAUCACAAUUACGGUUUAUUGUUGCAUUAUCUACCGCUGAAGCAGAAUAUGUAGCUAUCACUAAAGCCAUAAAAGAAGCAUUAUGGCUUAAAGGUUUGUUAUGUGAAUUAAAUGUCCUUUCUCACCCAAUAGCAGUUUACUCAAAUAGUUAGAGUGCUAUUCAUUUGUGUAAAAAUCAUGUUUUUCAUGAAAGAACUAAGCAUAUAGAUGCUAGAAUGCAUUUUAUUAAAGAAAUAAUUCACAAAGAUUCUAUUAUACUUGAAAAAAAACCCCAACUGAGUUCAAUCCUGCUGAUUGAUAUAGGAACUAAGGUACUUAAAUCCUCCUGAUUGAUAUAGGAACUAAGGUACUUCUUCUGAACAAGUUCAAAUCUUGUUUACAAAUGCUAAAAAUUGAUGCUGGGUAAUUCUGUGUGAAUUGAAAGUACUAUUUCGUUCACCUUGGUGCAGUGAGCUAUGGGACCUAAAAAUAAUGGAUGUGCUGAAGUUACUUUUUCUGUAUUUUGUGUCCUGUUUGAGUCAUUGGCAUCAAGGUGGAGAUUGUUUGGAUUGUGAUGCCAAUUUUGGAUUUACAACUUAGCCAAUGGGCUAUGAUGAAAACUUGGCUAGGCCCAUUCUCGAUACUACACUUCCAUUGCUCGAUAACUCAAAUAAAGAGGCCCAAAAUUCGAGCCCAAAAAUUUGGCCACGAGUGAUACUCCGAACCAUUGGAUCCUCUGAUUGAAAUCAAUGGUAAUGAGCUUCUAAUAUAAAUUGACUUCUGAUGGUUGUCCUAGGAGACUGGACUCUUUUUCUUCCGUCUCUUGAACUCUCUAGAAUUUGAGUUUUUACGUCUUCCUUUCUCUUUUCGUCUCCUUCAUGUUUCCCUUGAAAAUUUUGUGAUUUGGGAUUUGUAUUCUGUGUGAAUAAGUUAAUCUAAGUGAUUCUUGUGUGAGGAGAAAGUGUUAAUAUCUAUUUUGGGGGUUUUUCCUUUGGUCCGUUGAAGUAGCCUCAUUCGGUUUCCAGUGGGUUUGGGUAUUUUGGUGCUUCUUAUUUGUAUAGAAGGAUACCAUGAUUUCUGAGCCCAAAGUCGAUGAAAUCUUGGUGUCAAAUGUUUGAUUUGUUUUGUAACCUUUUACAGUGAAUAAUUUCUGGGAUACUUUGUGUAUUUUUUAUUUCAUGGUAUAAUAUAGAAUAUAUCAGAGAAUUGUUUUAUCUGACUUUAUACUCUUGGUUUGAUGUCAUGGCUACUAAUCCGAUAAGACUACCUAAUUUCAUGUUAUUUCUUUUUUGUUUAAAUUGAGAAUACACUUCCUGUGUACUCUUUUUUUAUUAAUAAAAUUAUCUGA